GGACCGUACAAACGUUAUUCGGAAUCACUGGGCUUAAAGGGUGCGUAGGCGGCGCGGCAAGUUGGGUGUGAAAUCCCUCGGCUCAACCGAGGAACUGCGCCCAAAACUGCCGUGCUUGAGGGAGAUAGAGGUGAGCGGAACUUAGGGUGGAGCGGUGAAAUGCGUUGAUAUCCUAAGGAACACCUGUGGCGAAAGCGGCUCACUGGGUCUCUUCUGACGCUGAGGCACGAAAGCUAGGGGAGCGAACGGGGAUUAGAUACCCCGGUAGUCCUAGCUGUAAACGAUGAGCACUGGGCCCGGAGGGUCCCUCCCAUAGCCUUCCGGCCCGAAGCGAAAGUGGUUAGUGCUCCGCCUGGGGGAGUAUGGUCGCAAGGCUG
rnacentral:rRNA from 1 species